ACUCCUACGGGAGGCAGCAGUAGGGAAUCUUCCACAAUGGGCGCAAGCCUGAUGGAGCAACACCGCGUGAGUGAAGAAGGGUUUCGGCUCGUAAAGCUCUGUUGUUAAAGAAGAACACGUAUGAGAGUAACUGUUCAUACGUUGACGGUAUUUAACCAGAAAGUCACGGCUAACUACGUGCCAGCAGCCGCGGUAAUACGUAGGUGGCAAGCGUUAUCCGGAUUUAUUGGGGCGUAAAGAGAGUGCAGGCGGUUUUCUAAGUCUGAUGUGAAAGCCUUCGGCUUAACCGGAGAAGUGCAUCGGAAACUGGAUAACUUGAGUGCAGAAGAGGGUAGUGGAACUCCAUGUGUAGCGGUGGAAUGCGUAGAUAUAUGGAAGAACACCAGUGGCGAAGGCGGCUACCUGGUCUGCAACUGACGCUGAGACUCGAAAGCAUGGGUAGCGAACAGGAUUAGAUACCCUGGUAGGAAAGCG
rnacentral:rRNA from 1 species